UUGAAAGCCCUGGAAUCAACGCCCUCUAUUUAUUUACAGAACAGGCACAACACAGGCAUCACCAUUGCAAGCUUCAGAAUGCUGCCCAUGCCGAUGUGCCUCAAUUUUGACCACCUCUUGGGGUGAGAGGAUAGUUCCGUCUGUGCCCAUUCAAGCCUUGGCCUUU
ensembl:misc_RNA